AAAGCCUGACGGAGCAAGACCGCGUGGGGGAAGAAGGCUCUUGGGUUGUAAACCCCUUUUCUCUGGGAAGAAAGUUGUGAAAGCAACCUGACGGUACCAGAGGAAUCAGCAUCGGCUAACUCCGUGCCAGCAGCCGCGGUAAGACGGAGGAUGCAAGCGUUAUCCGGAAUGAUUGGGCGUAAAGCGUCCGCAGGUGGCAGUUCAAGUCUGCUGUCAAAGACCGGGGCUCAACCUCGGAAAGGCAGUGGAAACUGAACAGCUAGAGUAUGGUAGGGGCAAAGGGAAUUCCUGGUGUAGCGGUGAAAUGCGUAGAGAUCAGGAAGAACAUCGGUGGCGAAGGCGCUUUGCUGGACCAUAACUGACACUCAGGGACGAAAGCUAGGGGAGCGAAUGGGAUUAGAUACCCCAGUAGUCCUAGCCGUAAACGAUGGAUACUAGGUGUUGUCUGUAUCGACCCGGACAGUGCCGUAGCUAACGCGUUAAGUAUCCCGCCUGGGGAGUACGCACGCAAGUGUGAAACUCAAAGGAAUUGACGGGGGCCCGCACAAGCGGUGGAGUAUGUGGUUUAAUUCGAUGCAACGCGAAGAACCUUACCAGGAC
rnacentral:rRNA from 1 species